rnacentral:rRNA from 1 species
UACGUAGGGGGCAAGCGUUGUCCGGAAUCAUUGGGCGUAAAGCGCGUGUAGGCGGCCCGAUAAGUCCGCUGUGAAAGUCCAGGGCUCAACCCUGGGAUGCCGGUGGAUACUGUCGGGCUCGAGUCCGGAAGAGGCGAGUGGAAUUCCGUGGUGGUAGCGGUGAAAUGCGCAGAUAUCAGGAGGAACACCGAUGGCGAAGGCAGCCCCCUGGGCCAAUACUGACGCUCAGGCACGAAAGCGUGGGAGCAAACAGGG